UCAGAUGAAGAGGCUGCAGACCAAAAACUUAUGUAAUUUGCCCAAGGUUACACAAACCAGCCAGAAGAGGGGAAAUAUCCCUUCCCCACAGUUGGUGAGCCAGCAGGAGACUUUACUAGCUGGACACUGUUCACACUGGCACUGUGGCAAACGAAGAGAUCUUGGGGCGUCUCAUGCAAACUGAAGAAG